GCUAAGAUGGCAGAGCCCGGUAAAUGCAGGGGACCUAAGCCCCCCACUCAAAGGUUCAAGUCCUUUUCUCAGCU
rnacentral:tRNA from 1 species